rnacentral:rRNA from 1 species
GACGAACGCUGGCGGCGUGCUUAACACAUGCAAGUCGAACGGAAAGGCCCUGCUUUUGUGGGGUGCUCGAGUGGCGAACGGGUGAGUAACACGUGAGUAACCUGCCCUUGACUUUGGGAUAACUUCAGGAAACUGGGGCUAAUACCGGAUAGGAGCUCCUGCUGCAUGGUGGGGGUUGGAAAGUUUCGGCGGUUGGGGAUGGACUCGCGGCUUAUCAGCUUGUUGGUGGGGUAGUGGCUUACCAAGGCUUUGACGGGUAGCCGGCCUGAGAGGGUGACCGGCCACCAUGGGACUGAGGUACGGCCCAGACUCCUACGGGAGGCAACAGGGGGGAAUAUGGCACAAUGGGCGGAAGCGUGAUGCAGCAACCCCGCGUGCGUGAUGACGGCCUUCGGGUUGUAAACCGCUUUCGCCUGUGACGAAGCGUGAGUGACGGUAAUGGGUAAAGAAGCACCGGCUAACUACGUG